AUUGAACGCUGGCGGCAUGCCUUACACAUGCAAGUCGAACGGUAACGGGCCUUCGGGUGCCGACGAGUGGCGAACGGGUGAGUAAUAUAUCGGAACGUACCUUUCAGUGGGGGAUAACGUAGCGAAAGUUACGCUAAUACCGCAUAUUCUGUGCGCAGGAAAGCAGGGGACCUUCGGGCCUUGCGCUGAUUGAGCGGCCGAUAUCAGAUCAGCUAGUUGGUGAGGUAAAGGCUCACCAAGGCGACGAUCUGUAGCGGGUCUGAGAGGAUGAUCGGCCACACUGGAACGGGGACACGGUCCAGACUCCUACGGGAGGCAGCAGUGGGGAAUUUUGGACAAUGGGGGCAACCCUGAUCCAGCCAUGCCGCGUGAGUGAAGAAGGCCUUCGGGUUGUAAAGCUCUUUCGGCCGGGAAGAAAUCGUAUGGGCUAAUACCCUGUGCGGAUGACGGUACCGGCAUAAGAAGCACCGGCUAACUACGUGCCAGCAGCCGCAGUAACAC
rnacentral:rRNA from 1 species